rnacentral:rRNA from 1 species
CGGGUGCACUGAUCCGGCCGGGCCUUUCCCUCUGUGGAACCCCAUGGCCUUCACUGGCUGUGCGGGGGAAACAGGACUUUUACUGUGAAAAAAUUAGAGUGCUCCAGGCAGGCCUAUGCUCGAAUACAUUAGCAUGGAAUAAUAGAAUAGGACGCGUGGUUCUAUUUUGUUGGUUUCUAGGACCGCCGUAAUGAUUAAUAGGGACAGUCGGGGGCAUCAGUAUUCAAUUGUCAGAGGUGAAAUUCUUGGAUCUAUUGAAGACUAACUACUGCGAAAGCAUUUGCCAAGGAUGUUUUCAUUGAUAAGGAACGAAAGUUAGGGGAUCGAAGACGAUCAGAUAUCGUCGUAGUCUUAACUAUAAACUAUGCCGACUAGGGAUCGGACGAUGUUAUUUCUUGACGCGUUCGGCACCUUUCGAGAAAUCAAAGUGCUUGGGCUCCAGGGGGAGUAUGGUCGCAAGGCUGAAACUUAAAGAAAUUGACGGAAGGGCACCACCAGGGGUGGAACCUGCGGCUUAAUUUGACUCAACACGGGGAAACUCACCAGGUCCAGACACAGUGAGGAUUGACAGAUUGAGAGCUCUUUCUUGAUUCUGUGGGUGGUGGUGCAUGGCCGUUCUUAGUUGGUGGAGUGAUUUGUCUGCUUAAUUGCGAUAACGAACGAGACCUUAACCUGCUAAAUAGCCCGUACUGCUCUGGCAGUUCGCCGGCUUCUUAGAGGGACUAUCGG